rnacentral:rRNA from 1 species
UGGGGAAUAUUGCACAAUGGGCGCAAGCCUGAUGCAGCCAUGCCGCGUGUGUGAAGAAGGCCUUCGGGUUGUAAAGCACUUUCAGCGAGGAGGAAGGGUGGUGUGUUAAUAGCACAUCACAUUGACGUUACUCGCAGAAGAAGCACCGGCUAACUCCGUGCCAGCAGCCGCGGUAAUACGGAGGGUGCAAGCGUUAAUCGGAAUUACUGGGCGUAAAGCGCACGCAGGCGGUUUGUUAAGUCAGAUGUGAAAUCCCCGCGCUUAACGUGGGAACUGCAUUUGAAACUGGCAAGCUAGAGUCUUGUAGAGGGGGGUAGAAUUCCAGGUGUAGCGGUGAAAUGCGUAGAGAUCUGGAGGAAUACCGAUGGCGAAGGCGGCCCCCUGGACAAAGACUGACGCUCAGGUGCGAAAGCGUGGGGAGCAAACA